rnacentral:rRNA from 1 species
UACGUAGGGUGCGAGCGUUGUCCGGAAUUAUUGGGCGUAAAGAGCUCGUAGGCGGUGUGUCACGUCGGCCGUGAAAACCUGGGGCUUAACUCUGGGCGUGCGGUCGGUACGGGCAUCACUAGAGUUCGGCAGGGGAGACUGGAAUUCCUGGUGUAGCGGUGAAAUGCGCAGAUAUCAGGAGGAACGCCGGUGGCGAAGGCGGGUCUCUGGGCCGAUACUGACGCUGAGGAGCGAAAGCAUGGGUAGCGAACAGG